rnacentral:misc_RNA from 1 species
CAAAGUUUGGGCUCCAUUAGAUUUAUGCCCAGUAUUCUCUAUCAACAUGGUCAGGGGGUAAGCAUUGAAUUUUGCUCUAGUAAAUCCAAACCAGCCUUGCAGUUCCCUAUCCAUAUCAACAUUUAAUAUGCCCAGUAUUCUCUAUCAAAAACACAAACUAAGCUGACUAUUUCCAAGAUGCAAACAUAAUCAACCUCACAGAAAUGGUAUUCAAAAACAUAAGCAGAAAAUAGAAGAAGGGAGAGUACCCAG